AGAAAAAUAAAUGACCCAAAAAUCCUAAAUGUCUAACACCCAACCCCUCUCUCUCUCUAAGUUUCCUCUCACGCAAUCUCUCUCUCUAUUUCUUAGCCAUCUGCAGGAACCUCAACCCAACAACCUCCAUCGCCUCUGUCGUCGUCUAGCUCCCACCGCCUACAUUGUUGAUCAGGAAGAUCCAACCAUCGGCGAUGUCUACAUGUCAUCAUCAGACAGCCAGAUCUGUGCCUACGUCCCAGUCGCGCGUUCACCUAGCCGUCAAGCUCUUUCCGUUCACGCGUCUGUUUGGGUUUUGGGCAUGCAAGUUCUGCCACCGCCUACAUUGUUCCUAUGGAUUUCGUCAGAAUGUUGGAGUUAUGUAAGGAUUAGUUUAUUUUGUUUGGAAAGUGUUGAAGCUGCUAUUCAGCAGACGUAAAGUCCGUUUUGGUGGAUUUUAGAGGAAGUCUUUGAGUGGAAUCUUGGAUGUUUUUUGGAUCAAACGGACAUUUGGGUAAGUGGUUUAACGACACUUGAGGCAAAGUGUGAUUUGAAAUUAUGCUCUUUGGGUGAAACUUAUUAUGGUUUAUGUUUACACUAGCUUAAUUUUGCGCAAAUCAAAAUAAGAAAGAGUUGUGGUGGGAUGUAAGUUUAUGUUUACACUAGCUAAAAAUGGAAGAAACCAUUUUAGUUUUUAUACAAGCCAAUUUUCUCCUCCCCUUCAAAGCCUAUGUAGGAUGUCGCUAUCUAAUAUAAAUUAGACAAUUGGUCCUUGGUUGAUAAAUCAUCAUUUCAAAAACUAAUUCAUUGAAAAACCAACGUAUUUGUCUUACUGCACAAUAACUGUGUGUACAAUGUAUUUGCAUUCGCUAAAGUUUUAUUUUAUUAUUAUUAUUUGAAUAAAGCCCUGUGUAAAAUACACUUUGAAAGUUUUGUUAACCCCUAUUCUUGGUGUAUUUUGACUAAACAUUGUUCAUUUUGAAAGUUUGUGGUUCCUUUUAUUGUGGACCUCUUGUUAUGGAUUCUACUCUAUGAAUUGACAACUAUGCUGAUUAAGUAAAAUUUUUAUUGCAACCUCGGCUUGCAUAAUCGUCUAGUAUUUAAUAGCCACUCAAUUACUUUUAGCAUUAUGAUAUAUACUUAACUUAAUGUUUACAUCGACAAGCCAUUUUCUCAUUAAGUUUGUAGUAUGGUAACUUAUCACUUAUAAUAUAUAUAUAUUUUUUGUAGCAGGACAGAGUGAAUCAAUAUAUACUUAACAAAAUUUAUUCAAUUUUUUUUUAUUUUUCAAGUUUACAUUUCAUGGAUGCCUGGUAACAAUAUACACUCCCUUUUGAGUUUGUACAGGACUUGGUAAUGGUAAUGUAAAGUUAGUUACAUGUUAAAAUAUGGUAAUGUUUUCUAGGUUCUUUCUGUUCUUUCUUCUAUACUUCCUUUACAGUUGUAUCAAGAUUGUAUGUGACUUACGGCAUCUUAUGGAGUUUCCCUAAGGUCGAAUCCCUUUUGUUUUUUUCCCUACUUCAAUUAACCAUAAAAUAGUGUUUAUAUUGUCAUUUUAAUUUAUCAUAAACUGAUUAGUGCUUGAUUAUGGUAAGUGAGGAGAAAUAUACUUGUUACCUCCUUGGUCAUCGGCUGGUCUACUACUGAGGCAAGUACUCGAAACCCAAUAGCUUGUCAUCUUUCUUUAUGUGAUUCAAAUGGUGGAUGAUUUGUGAUAUGUUUCCACUUGUUAUGUAUUUUGUUCAUUGUUAGAUUGUUUUUUCUUGUUAAGUGUGUCAUUCAUUUUGUGUUUUGUAUCGUAAAGCUUUAUUUGAUAGAUGGUUGUAGACUUAUUCAACUUAAUAGACAUAGAUUGAGUUUGACAUGAUUUGUAGAAUAGUAAAAACUGCUUUUCUUGAAGUAUUUAUAGAAAGAGUCUAAUUCUAAGGACACGAGUCUCGAAAUUAAUCUUUAGAGUUCUACUUUCUUAUUUGAUAGAUGGUUGUUAAGAGUUCUCCUUUCUUAUGUUAACUACUUGUGUUUGUUGGCUUUUGAAAUCACUUCUUUCUAUAUAUUUUGUGGUUUAUUGUGAUAUUUGUUUGGAUUGAUGGAAUUUUGAACUUUUUUGAGUUUUUGCUUUUUGGCUUUUCAUUCCAUUGAUGGGAACUGAGUCCAUGAAUCUAAAGAUAUAAGAUCGUUGUGAUCUGUUGAUGAAUUUGGGUAGAGACAUUGAGAAAUUGAGGUCUGUGAAGCUUCAUCCUGCCUUACAAACAGCCAAUCACAAGUGUUUACUUGAUUUUGUAAAGGAAGAUAGUUUGCGGAAAUCAGCAAAAAAUUGCAGAAAUUCCCAGUCAGUUUGAGAACAAAGUUUUUCAAUUUAAGGAGAUAUUUAACAAGGUUAAGUAGAAAGUUGAGGAUUUAUUUUCCUGCAGGGCUUCUAUUUCUAUAAAAACAUUUGGAACUGAAUAUUAAGGAACAUCAGAGGUAUGUCAACGAUCAAAAGAGUAUAAUGCAGUUCUUGAGGUUAGCUUCUAUUUACUUCUGCCAUAGCUCAAGCAUCAGAUUGUUCAUACUACUACCAUCUGGUUUUGUUUUUGGCCUGUGAAUUCCCCCCUCCCAAUUGAAAAUUUUACUUUUUUUUCUUUUUCCUUCAGUUCUCUCUUUGUAUAUUCAAUACUUUAUCACUUAUGUUUGUCACUUCAUUCUUAGAUUGGUGAUGUAGUUACUUUAAUCUCAUGAUUCAUGCAUCUGGUACAAUCUGUUGCAUGUUUUCAUAUCUAUUACAAUAGUUAUUAACUGUUAAAGUGUGUUUGGGAAGUUGCUAGGUUUAAUACUUCCUUGUGGAUGUUGGUCACUAGGUCUUUUUCUUUUUUUUCCUUCAACCCUUUUGUCGUGUAUAAUACUUAUCGUUUAUGUUUGUGACUUCUUUCUUAGAUUGGUGAUAUUAGUUACUUUAAUCUAUUCAUGCAUCUGGUACAAUCUGAAUAUUGUUCAUAUUUACAAAUCCAAUACACUAGUUAUUAACUGUUGAAAUGUGUUUGGCAGGUAGCUAGGUUUAACACAUCAUUGUGGACGUUGGUCAUUAUGCCUUUUUGUAAUUAUGAGCACAAUCUUGUUCUUUUGGAUUAGAGUAAUUUUCUGUAGAGCUUGCAAAACAGGGGUGUCGCCAGUCCUGUUGUUAGUGGUGGUUAUGGACUACCAUCACUGGAUUGUGUUGCCAGGUAUUGUAUUACUCCUAUUCAAAUUAAUCAUUUAGCUUGAAUUUGGAUUUUGCUUUUCAAAAUUUCACUAGCUUGAUUUAGUUUGCUCAUUCAAAUUCUUUUUCAGAAAACCUUUGUAAGGAUUGGGUGGUAAAAAAAUGAUCUUAUAAAUACUUGUAUCUAGAUAUGCUUUGUGUAUAACCGAUGGCAUUAAUUCCUAGUGUCCUUUUAGUUACAUGUGCUUUUAUAUUUGUUGUUAUGUGCAAUCAUUUUAAGAGUCAAUGGAUAUAAUUCUCUACAUAUUAUUUGUUAUUUUUCUCUCUUAAAAUGCUUGAAUGUGCCCUACAACAUCUUAUGAUAUACAUGUUAAUUCACAAGUUUGUUUUUGUGUAUAGCUUUAUUUUCCAGUCUUCGUGUUUUUUAGCUUGUUUGGCUACUGAGAAUCAAAAGUAAAAAUUUAAAUGUGCAAGACUUUCAUGAUUUUUUUUUUUUAUUUAUUAUAGAGUAGGUGAUAUUUGAUUAAAAAGCUUAUUUUUUGGCUUUUCUUUAUGGCUUUUCUUCACGCGUUUGCCGGCCUUACUGUUUACUUUAUUGGGUUACAACUCUUGUCAUCCAAAAUAUUGAACUUUAUUCAUAAUUACUUUUAUAAAUAACAUACAUUUACCAAGAAUUGUAUCAAUCUGUAGUACAAGAUUGUUCCGUGCCCAUGUUCUUUUUCUAAGGGGUGUUCAAAACAUUAACUUUUUCCCAUAUAGUUUUGAUCUUGUUGGCCAUAGUUUUCCGUAGUUCGGAUCUUGGUAAUGACAUGGUGGAUAAUUAAAACUUUUGGGACGUUCUUGUAUAUUCUUCUUAUUGCACUUUAUGAAGGCCCUGCUUUAGCUAUUAAUUUGUCUUUGCAGAAAGUCACAGUUCAGGAGAAGUUUUAUAGUACAUGAAAGGAACAAUAACUUUAGGAUUGUAGUAAUUGUAUUGUUUUAGAUUCUCUAAGCUAUUCUCUCCAUUGGAUGGUUCUUAUACAUUCAUUGUAUAAUAUGUAAGUGUCGAGAAUUUUAGCGGUAAAAUAUCUAUUAUACUUAGUUGAAACAAAAUGAUAUGCUUGUAGGAUCAAAGAAUUUAAUGAAUGGGCACAAUGUCUCAUACUUGAAUUGGUUUCCAAAAUGUACCAUCAGAUUGCAAUGAGAAUUUUGACAUCUUGAAUCUCCUUAAAGAUCGUCUUCAGCAUGCUAAUGGUGCUGUGGUAUUGGUAACCACAGAAGUUAUUCUACAUUUGACUUUAUCUAUGACUCUUGUUCAUCAGCAGGUGACCAUCAAGAGUUUUUGAUCCAUUUACAACAUUUUAUUUCUUUACUAAACUCUAUAUUACAGUUUUACUUUUCAUCUCUCAUAUUAAUUUUAUGGUCUUACCUAGUUGCAAUGCUUCUUCUUUUUCUAUCUCUUAAGCAUAUGGAGUCUAGGAUAACCUCUACCUCUAACCUAGCAAUGUAAGUUCCCGAAAAGAGAAAUAAGUUGAAUCAUUAUGUAAAUACAAUUUUGUUGAGAGAAGGUUGUUGUUUGAAUAUUGUUGGAAAUGCAUUUCUUUGAAGAGGUGUAACUAUGGUA